rnacentral:rRNA from 1 species
GACAGAGGUGCCAAGCGUUAGGCGGAAUCACUGGGCUUAAAGCGUGUGUAGGCGGGUGCCUAAGUACCUUGUGAAAUCCCACGGCUCAACCGUGGAACUGCUGGGUAUACUGGGUGCCUUGGGUCAUCUAGGGGCUGCCGGAACAAAUGGUGGAGCGGUGAAAUGCGUAGAUAUCAUUUGGAACGCCAACGGCGAAAGCAGGCAGCUGGGGAUGCACCGACGCUGAGACACGAAAGCCAGGGGAGCAAACAGG